GUUGAAAUAAUUGAAGGCCAGCUUCCUCUUCAAAGCAUUCUUCUCCUUCAAAGCAAUCCAACCUUUCUCUUGGAGGUUUUGGCAACCAAAGAAGGUAGCAGCUCGGUUCUUCUUUUUGGAAGUUCGGUGACUGAAGACACCUCCCCGCUAAUGGCUCACCGGCAAGCUUGGAGAUCCUGUAGUGAGCCUUAACUCGCGGCAUUUGGUGAACCCAAUUCCGUAGUCCAGAACCAGGAAAAGAUUAAGCUUAGGACCGGGGGUUGUUCUGAGGUCGUGUUCAUGUAGUUUGUUGUAUGUGUGAGGCCUUUGUAUUCCAUUUGUGUUCCUGAUUUUUGUUUGUUAAGCAUGGCAAUGUAUCUUUGUAGUGUUGCUAAAGCCCGUACUUAAAUUAUCUCUAUGUAUUAUUAUUGGUUUGUAAUUUUGCAUUUUAUUGCUUUCUGCUUGUUUGUUGGUGAUAUUUCUCACUAGAUCUGAGAUCUGAGGCCUUGCACCCAGUGGGGCCCAGCCUUGUUAGAUGCGGUUGGUCUGUCAGUGGGCCCAGCUUGGGGCUGGAGCGUGACACCAAGGGCGCCGAUGAGCUUAUAGAUGUUGUCCUAGGCUGGACAACCAUCACAAUUUCAAACAACUACUUCACUCAUCAAAAUCAUAAUGAAGUCAUGCUUUUGGGUCACAGUGAUUCUUAUGCUAGGGACAAAGCCAUGCAGGCUACCGUUGUUGUUACUGCAGCUU